GGUCAAGUUGUUAAGGGUCUACGGUGGAUGCCUUGGGGCCAAGGGCCGAAGAAGGGCGUGGCAAGGCUACGAAAAGCCUCGGUUUGCUGCCUAGCAAGCUCAGCCGGGGAUGCCCGAAUGGGGAAACCCUUCCUAGGUCAUACUAGGAAAUCCACAUAGGAUGGUAAGCGGGGGAACUGAAACAUCUCAGUACCUCGAGGAAAAGAAAUCAACCGAGAUUCCCCUAGUAGUGGUGAACGAACGGGGAAGAGCCCAAACCUGUGGGGCUUAGUGGACUGAGGUCCUAUGCCGCUCGGGUGUUGUAACACAUGCCUCUCCCGGCCUCAGCACGGGAGAAGGAGUAAGAAACCUCUGAUCUAGCCGAACGAAUCUGGAAAGGACGACCGAAGAGGGUGAUAGUCCCGUAGGCGAAAGGUUAGAGACUCCUGGUGUGUUGUUGAGUACGGCGGGACACGUGGAAUCCUGUCGGAAGCUGGGGGGACCACCCUCCAAGGCUAAAUACCCUUGGCCACCGAUAGUGAACCAGUACCGUGAGGGAAAGGUGAAAAGAACCCCGGAAGGGGAGUGAAAUAGUUCCUGAAACCGUAGACUUACAAGCCGUGGGAGGCUGUUGCGAUCCGUCGUAAUGGCUGACCGCGUGCCUAUUGAAGAAUGAGCCGGCGAGUUAAUCUAUGUAGCUGGUUAAGGGAUAUCAGUUCCGGAGCCACAGCGAAAGCGAGUCUGAACAGGGCGCGCAUAGUUGCAUGGAUUAGACCCGAAACCAGGUGAGCUACCCAUGGCCAGGUUGAAGCUCGGAUAGUCUCCGAGUGGAGGACCGAACCCGUGUCUAGUGCAAAAGGCUGGGAUGAGCUGUGGGUAGGGGUGAAAUGCCAACCGAACCUGGAGAUAGCUGGUUCUCCCCGAAAUGUAUUUAGGUGCAGCCUCAAUCGAAGUCUCGUGGAGGUAGGGCUCUGGAUGGGUAAGGGGGCGAGAGCCUACCAAACUCAACCAAACCACAAAUGCCAUAGAGACGAUCAUUGGGAGUGAGACAGUGGGGGAUAAGCUCCAUUGUCGAAAGGGAAACAGCCCAGACCGCAGGCUAAGGUCCCGAAGUGUGUGCUAAGUGUGAAAAGAAGUGGGAUUGCUAAAACAGCUAGGAGGUUGGCUUAGUAGCAGCCAUCCUUUAAAGAGUGCGUAACUGCUCACUAGUCGAGGAAUCCUGCGCUGAAAAUGUAACGGGGCUAAGCACACCACCGAAGCCGCGGUCCCUACCGGAUUCGUCCGGAGGGAGGUAGGGGAGCGUUGUCAGGGCAUUGAAGCUCUCGGCGUGAGCCAGAGUGGAGCGCUGACAAGUGAGAAUGCCGGCAUGAGUAGCGACAAUCCUGGUGAGAAUCCAGGACACCGGAAGCCUAAGGUUUCCUACGCAAUGCUGAUCAGCGUAGGGUAAGUCGGUCCUAAGCCGUAGCGCAGAAGCGAAGGCGAUGGACAGCAGGUCAAAAUUCCUGCACCACCGUUACCCUGUUAAGCGAAGGGGGGACACGGAAAGGUAGGCGGGGCGCGCCCAUCGGACAUGGUGCGUUUUCCCUUGUAGGCGACGACCGGGGUAGGAAAAUCCGCCCUGGGAGCUGAGAGGGGAGAAAACUCUAGGGCCACCGCCCUGGGGAAUUCCGCCGACCCUCUGCCGUCAAGAAAAACCUCGUCGAUAGGGGUCUUGGUGACCGUACCGCAAACCGACACAGGUAGGCAGGGGUAAACGCCCCGAGGUGAACGAGAGAACCCUCGUUAAGGAAUUCGACAACUUAGCCCUGUAACUUCGGGAGAAAGGGUGCCCGGAGGGUACCGUCCGCAUGCCGGACGUGAGCCCUUUCGGGCCGCAGUGAACAGGCUCAGGCGACUGUUUACCAAAAACACAGGUCUCUGCUAAACCGAAAGGUGAUGUAUAGGGGCUGACGCCUGCCCAGUGCCGGAAGGUUAAGGGGAGAGGUUCGUCUUCGGACAAAGCCUUGAUCCGAAGCCCCGGUGAACGGCGGCCGUAACUAUAACGGUCCUAAGGUAGCGAAAUCC
rnacentral:rRNA from 1 species